GAGCGUCCCAGAGGCUUGUGUGCAAAGGAAUGACAGACAGCUUAGAUUCUUCAGCAGGGACGCCACCAGGACAGCGGUGCAGUGGUCUGAGUGAGAGACGGGAGGCCUGAGCUGGGGCCAUGAGGAAGCAGACUGAGAGAAGGGGCCGGCAAGAAAGAUGUUACAAAGGUUUGGAUGCUUACUGCAUGCCAGACACCGUGCAAAGAGCUCUUCAUAUGUCACGUGUGAGGACUGUUACUCUUCUCGUUUACAGAUAAGGAAAACGAGGCUCAGAAAGAGGCAACCUAAGGAAAAGUGUGAUGGACUUGGUCGUAGCUGCAGAAUGUCAGAAUGUUAAUUUAAUUGAUUUGACAAUGAAAAAGUACAGCUGACAGAAGAAAGUGGCAAGUGGAGAAGGGGAGGCAAAGCAUAGUUAGUGAGCAGUUAAGAAACACUACAUAAAGCUGACGAAACUAGAACUGGAGGUUUCAGCGCACCAAAGCAAGUUCCAAAAGUCACCAGGAGAAGAAAAACAGUUAAAGAAUUUACCUCCAGGGAGGAGAAUGGGC